GCCGCCGUAGCUCAGCUGGGAGAGCACCCGAGGAUGCUUGGGUUCUUCCAGCAUCCGGUGAGGCUGAAGACCGGGCUGUCGGGGGUUCAAGUCCCCCCGGCGGCA
rnacentral:tRNA from 1 species